AAACAUUUAACAUGUGAUUAUUGAAUGAAUAUCAUUGUAUUAAUCAAAUUGUGCCAACAAUGUCUUCACUUCUCCUUUUGGCAUGGGAGAAGGGUUUUUAAACAAAAUGAACACAUUACAUUGACUUCGGGAUAACUGUUGGAACAUCAACGUCGACCCAAUUAUUGCAGAUUCCACCAGGUAUGACAAAGUUGCCAAGGUCUUCCUCUUCAUCAUCUUCAAC
rnacentral:lncRNA from 1 species